rnacentral:rRNA from 1 species
CCUACGGGAGGCAGCAGUGGGGAAUUUUGGACAAUGGGCGCAAGCCUGAUCCAGCAAUGCCGCGUGAGUGAAGAAGGCCUUCGGGUUGUAAAGCUCUUUUGUCAGGGAAGAAACGGUGGGAGCUAAUAUCUCUUGCUAAUGACGGUACCUGAAGAAUAAGCACCGGCUAACUACGUGCCAGCAGCCGCGGUAAUACGUAGGGUGCAAGCGUUAAUCGGAAUUACUGGGCGUAAAGCGUGCGCAGGCGGUUUUGUAAGACUGUCGUGAAAUCCCCGGGCUCAACCUGGGAAUGGCGAUGGUGACUGCAAGGCUAGAGUUUGGCAGAGGGGGGUAGAAUUCCACGUGUAGCAGUGAAAUGCGUAGAUAUGUGGAGGAACACCGAUGGCGAAGGCAGCCCCCUGGGUCAAAACUGACGCUCAUGCACGAAAGCGUGGGGAGCAAACAGGAUUAGAUACCCUGGUAGUCCACGCCCUAAACGAUGUCUACUAGUUGUCGGGUCUUAAUUGACUUGGUAACGCAGCUAACGCGUGAAGUAGACCGCCUGGGGGAGGUACGGUCGCGAGAGUUAAACGUUAAAGUAGUAAGUUAGUAGGCGUGAGACGUAGCCGACGGACGACGACGAGGGAGGAGG